GUAAUGAUUAAGAGGGACGGAGUCGGGGGCAUCAGUAUUCAAAAGUCAGAGGUGAAAUUCUUGGAUUUUUUGAAGACUAACUACUGCGAAAGCAUUUGCCAAGGACGUUUUCAUUAAUCAAGAACGAAAGUUAGGGGAUCGAAGAUGAUCAGAUACCGUCGUAGUCUUAACCGUAAACUAUGCCGACUGGGGAUGGGCUGGCACACAUUACAAACAUGGCAGCCCGCACCCACCGAGAAAUCAAAGUCUUUGGGUUCCGGGGGGAGUAUGGUCGCAAGGCUGAAACUUAAAGGAAUUGACGGAAGGGCACCACCAGGAGUGGAGCCUGCGGCUUAAUUUGACUCAACACGGGGAAACUCACCAGGUCCAGACGCAAUAAGGAUUGACGGAUUGAGAGCUUCUUCUUGAUUUUGCGGGUGGUGGUGCAUGGCCGUUCUUAGUUGGUGGAGUGAUUUGUCUGCUUAAUUGCGAUAACGAACGAGACCUUGAGCGGGUGUUGGGGAGCUCUAUAUUUCUUAUGUAGAGGCGUUCUGAUACCUGCGACAACUGGCGCAAGCCAGCGGAAGCGAGGCAAUAACAGGUCUGUGAUGCCCUUAGACGUUCUGGGCCGCACGCGCGCUACACUGACGCAGCCAGCGAGUAUAUUUUGAUGUCCUUGGCCGAGAGGUCUGGGGAAACUUGUGAAACUGCGUCGUGCUGGGGAUAGAGCAUUGUAAUUGUUGCUCUUGAACGAGGAAUUCCUAGUAAGCGCAAGUCAUCAGCUUGCGUUGAUUACGUCCCUGCCCUUUGUACACACCGCCCGUCGCUACUACCGAUUGAAUGGCUUAGUGAGGCUCCGGGAGAUGCGGGUGCCGGGGGCGACCCUGGCGCGUGUGCCGAACUCAUCCAAACUUGGUCAUUUAGAGGAAGUAAAAGUCGUAACAAGGUUUCCGUAGGUGAACCUGCGGAAG
rnacentral:rRNA from 1 species